CGGGGCGUAGCGCAGCCUGGUAGCGCACUACACUGGGGGUGUAGUGGUCGUCGGUUCAAAUCCGGCCGCCCCGACCA
rnacentral:tRNA from 1 species